UUUUUUCAGUAAACUGCAUUCAUUUUUAAAAGUGAAAAAAUGAUCUCAAGUACUUAAAUCAUACUAUUUUCAGAUAUCUCUUCAACUUAAGUAAUUUAGAGAUUCAAUUCUAAUCACUUGCAGUAAAAACACUUACAAGUAUUUAAGAUUAUUCUUGAAACUACCCUGCCUGUUAAUCUACAUAUAUUGGGUCCCUUGCCUAAAUAUAAAGUUGUUAAGGAACAUUCAUGUAUCACUAUUUUUACUCUAAGUUUUGUUUUGAUCUUCGAAAAAGUUUUUCCAGAGCUCUGUAAAUUUUGGAAGCUCAUUAUUUUAUUUUAUAGGGAUAUUAGCUUCAUUAUGCAAGGCGUUCAAUCGCUGCUAUCAAUAGGAUCUGUGUUCAUCCACAGAGACAUUUCAAAUGAAGUGAAAAACAUUUGCAGACUACAUUAUGUUUUGAGAGUGAAUGAUUUUAAAAGAUGUCAAGUUCUACUUAAGGAGUUUUCUAUGAAAUAGCAUUUAUAUUAGAGAAAGGGUAGGGGGAGGUGAAAGAUAUAAGUCAUCAGAAUUUCAUUUAUUUUUAAAUAUAAUUAAGCUCUCAGAAAGCAUCAGCAUUUUAACUUUGAAAUAUCUUUUUAAAGACAUUACUGAAAUCCCUUUUCUAAUGCAUCUCUGAAAAUGAAUUCACUUUAAUAAGUGGGAGGAUUUGUGAAGAAAAACAGACUAUAAGCACAAAGGAAGGAUAAAAUGUUUAAUUGUAUUAAUUAUACUUUCAUGAUAUGCCAUUGUCACUGACAUACAUAUUUACCACAUUUAUAAACUUCUAGAACAAUACACUGUAAGAUAUGGUCAUGUGUAUUAGAGUUGCCUGAAGCACCAUCCAUAGACCUUUGUGCCACAGAUAAAUGGAAGUGCAAUAUAGAGCCUUCUCAUUAUGUGAGAAAUCAUCCAUGUCCUUGUGAAUAUUUUAUUGCUUGUAAUAUCAUGGGUUUACAUUUUGGUUGAGAACUGAAAUCCCUGCCUUAGGAGGUGAUUUGAUCCUCCUUGAUCCCAGAUCCUUUCCAAUCAGUCUUGUUUUACCUACACUAAUCCUAGAAUUUGGAUGCAAACUAAUAAAUUAUUAUUUCUUUAAAAAAGUGAUUUCCAGGGCAGCCCGGGUGGCUCAGCGGUUUAGCGCCACCUUCAGCUCAGGGCCUGAUCCUGGAGUCCCGGGAUCGAGUCCCACGUCAGGCUCCCUGUAUGGAGCCUGCUUCUCCCUCUGCCUGUGUCUCUGUCUCUCUGUGUGUCUUGUGAAUCAAUAAAUAAAAUCUUUUUUUAAAAAAAGUGAUUUCCAGGACAAUGACUUAUCCAAAAUUGGGAAAUAACAAUACUAAAAAUAAAUGAGAGGAAAAAUAAGCUUAUUUUCACAUUUUUUUUAAUAAAACACAAUCUUUUUAAAUGACCUAAAAGCUAAUUUUAAUGGCAAUUGAGAAUUCUAUUGAUCUAUGCCAACACUUUCAUUUUCUUUUAUUAUAGUAAUGGUGAGACUUGAAAAUACUGAUUUCUUCAGGCUCAAAAAAGAUACUUGAUUUAAGGCCCAACUGCCACACCCAAAAAAUGUACGAAACUUUAUGUGGCUUAUGAGCAGUGGCACUACUUACUCAUUCUUGUAUUUUUCAUAACAUUGAGCAGAGUCCUACUAACACAGGAUAGGAAAUUACUGUUUUGUUAAGUCAAGAAGUGAAAUUAAACAUAUCAACUUUGUAAAUUCCUGUUUAUGUUAUGCAUGCUGUA
rnacentral:lncRNA from 1 species